CAGUAGCCGCGGUAAUACGUAGGGUGCGAGCGCUAAUCGGAAUUACUGGGCGUAAAGCGUGCGCAGGCGGUUCGUUAAGACAGAUGUGAAAUCCCCGGGCUUAACCUGGGAACUGCAUUUGUGACUGGCGAGCUAGAGUAUGGCAGAGGGGGGUAGAAUUCCACGUGUAGCAGUGAAAUGCGUAGAGAUGUGGAGGAAUACCGAUGGCGAAGGCAGCCCUCUGGGCCAAUACUGACGCUCAUGCACGAAAGCGUGGGGAGCAAACAGGAUUAGAUACCCCAGUAGUCCCUGUCUCUUAUAC
rnacentral:rRNA from 1 species